CAUGGAGACCCAUUGAAACCGGCUGGGCCAUUACCAUCUAGAAGCUGGUGGGGCUCUGGCAAUUAGAAAGACUGUUAGCCCUAGUUAAUAUGGUCAAGUGAUGUCAAUUGUUUAGAACAGAAGGAGAACGUGCACCUUCACCCCAGCGUAGUUGGAGGACACUAUAAACAAAGAGUCCACGAAGAAGCUUCGUCAUGCCUCGUGGGAAAAGUUAGCACAUUGCCAAAACCAUGCAGUCUGUUUGUGGACCUUGAGUAGGAGAUGCUCUGAAACAAUACCUAAUGAGCAAUUAAAGUGACUUACUGAGAGUGAAGGCUUCUUGCAGGCCGCAGCAGCCAUAUGUCACAUCAGACAUAAGGCACUGAACAGACGCAAUUCAAUGGAAUCCUGUCAUCCAUCAGGCAAAA
rnacentral:lncRNA from 1 species